rnacentral:misc_RNA from 1 species
GCCGCUUUGGCUCAUCUCCAGCUCUACCGGCAACUCACUUUCUCCUUCUCCGACGAAAUCAAAGUAAAAUUUGUGCAAUAUUUCAACCCUAGUCAACAUAAUGGGAAUGGAAUUACAUGCUGAAAAUGCGGGUUGUGCUGAGAUGGAGAUUGCUGAGAUUACGGAUUCAGAUUUGUUCAAACUUGUUAGACAUGCCCUUAAAUCUGCUAUCCAGGGUGAUCCAGAUCAAUAUGAGCAGCUUCUUCGUGUUAUGCACCCUGAUGAAGGCGUUUUACCUGAUGUGGCCCUACUGGUGACAUGUUUAAAAGCUCUGUCAGGAUCAGUUUCUUGUCUAGACAUUGUUCACCAUAAAUCUCUUAUUGCAUCUAUUUUACAAAUGAGCAUGUGGAACUAUGGAACUGAUGUAAUGGAUGCUUUGAUGGAAUUUAAUAUAUCCUUGGCUACAUCCAGUGGGCAGUAUGUAGAUCUGUGCUUGGAAAUGCUUGUGAGCAAUUUUAUGCCUCCUGAUUCCUUCAUAUCAUUGUUGAGUCAGCCACGUGGCAUUCUACGGAAGGGCCAAGUCAUUGACCGUGUCCAUUCAACAUUAACAUACAUUGCAAAGUUAGUUCCUCUCUCGCCCUUGAGACUUGAGAGAAUGAUAACGGAGAGGAUGCCACACAUUUUCACAAAGGAACCAUUGAUUUUGAUAUAUGUGGAGAACAUGUUAAAACUAGAGAGUGGAGCAAUUGGUGAUCUUGUUGGGAGAACAAUGCUUGUGGCAAUUAUGGAUAAGCUAAUAGAUUUGGAUGUAGAUAUAGCAUGGGAUGAUAUCUUACAAGAAGAUUUCACCAAAGGCAUCUUCGAUAUGGAGCUGGGAGAUCUCGAAUGGCCAAUGGAUGAUGGCCAGCAAAAUGGUGAUGAGCUCCAAAUAUCUUGGAUGGAACGGUAUUUUAGUGGAAAUCUAAAUGCUCAGAAAUUGGAUAGCUUAAUCGUCCUUACCUUUGAACACCUUAACAUUUGCAAAGAGAGUGGACGCCUGAGUCAGGUUUUUCAUACUCUUCUACAGUCUUUUCAGCAAACUGUUUUGAUGGCAUACAAGUCUAAAUUUGCUCAGUUUGUGUUGUUUUACGCCUGUUCACUGGAUCCUGAAAACUGCGGUAGGAGAUUUGCCGAUACGCUAUUUCAUAAAUUUAAGUCAAGUAAAUAUCCAGAAUGGAGAAUGAGUGCUGUUGCCUAUCUUGCUAGUUAUUUGGCUCGU